ACUGAAUAGAUACCCGGGUAGUCCUAGCCGUAAACGGUGCACGUUUGCUGUAAAAGGAAUCGACCCCUUUUGUGGCGAAAGCUAAACGCGUUAAAAACGUGCCGCCUGGGAAGUACGGUCGCAAGAUUAAAACUCAAAGAAAUUGACGGGGGCCUGCACAAGCGGUGGAGUAUGUGGCUCAAUUCGAUGCAACGCGAAGAACCUUACCUGGCCUUGACAUGCAUAUAGUAGAAGGGUGAAAGCCUGACGAGGUAGCAAUACCAGUAUGCACAGGUGCUGCAUGGCUGUCGUCAGCUCGUGUCGUGAGAUGUUGGGUUAAAGUCCCGCAACGAGCGCAACCCCGUGUGUCCUGUUGCCACCCGGGUCCGAGAGGCUGGAGCACUCUGGACAGACUGCCUCGCUUAAACCGAGGAGGAAGGUGGGGAUGACGUCAAGUCAGUAUGGCCCUUACGGCCAGGGCUGCACACGUACUACAAUGGCUGGCACAAGGGUAAGCGAGACCGUAAGGUGGAGCAAAU
rnacentral:rRNA from 1 species